GACUAACCGAGCGAACGUUGUUCGGAAUCACUGGGCUUAAAGGGUGCGUAGGCGGGCUGCCAAGUUUGAGGUGAAAUCCUCCGGCUCAACCGGGGAAGUGCCUUGAAUACUGGCGGUCUGGAGGGAGGUAGGGGCGUGCGGAACUAACGGUGGAGCGGUGAAAUGCGUUGAUAUCGUUAGGAACACCGGUGGCGAAGGCGGGUCUCUGGGCCGAUACCGACGCUGAGGAGCGAAAGCGUGGGGAGCGAACAGG
rnacentral:rRNA from 1 species